UGAGGAACAUGACUUUCGGCGGGGGAUAGCCGGCCCAACGGCCGGGUAAUACCGCGUACGACCACAUGGGGACAUCCCUGAGUGGUGAAAGCAGCAAUGCGCCGAUGGAGUGCCUCGCGGCCUAUCAGCUAGUUGGUGAGGUAACGGCUCACCAAGGCAACGACGGGUAGCUGGUCUGAGAGGAUGGCCAGCCACAUUGGGACUGAGACACGGCCCAGACUNUACGGGAG
rnacentral:rRNA from 1 species